rnacentral:rRNA from 1 species
AGCGAACGCUGGCGGCAGGCCUAACACAUGCAAGUCGAGCGGCCGUAGCAAUACGGCAGCGGCAGACGGGAUAGUAACACGUGGGAACGCGCCCUUCGGUUCGGAAUAACUCAGGGAAACUUGAGCUAAUACCGGAUACGCCUUACGGGAAGGAUUAUUGCCGAAGGAACGGCCCGCGUCCGAUUAGCUAGUUGGUGAGGUAAUGGCUCACCAAGGCAACGAUCGGUAGCUGGUCNGAGAGGAUGACCAGCAUCACUGGGACUGAGACACGGCCCAGACUCCUACGGGAGGCAGCAGUGGGGGAAUAUCGGACAAUGGGCGCAAGCCUGAUCCAGCCAUGCCGCGUGGAUGAUGAAGGCCUUAGGGUUGUAAAGUCCUUUUAACGGGGAAGAUAAUGACGGUACCCGUAGAAUAAGCCCCGGCUAACUUCGUGCCAGCAGCCGCCGCGGUAAU